UGGGAACAGCGUCAGACAGGCCCUGGCAACCACUCCCACCUCACACUGAACCCACAGUAGAGGGCAAGUAGCUACUAACCACCACUCUAUGCAACACGACGGCAACAUCUCGCUUCCAGGACCUUAACCAUACUCUCUCAUUAACACAGGCAAAUACACACAGACACACACUCAGGCCACAAGUUGAGACAGCUGCCACACACGGACACCCUCAGAGAGACUCCAUACUCUCUCGAGUACGUUCCUGACAGUGGGUUCUCUUGCCCUGAGUGACCCCACACAUUUUACACAUUCAAUAAUACCUACACAGAGUGGGAAUUUGCAAAGCUCCAGACAGAGGAAACGCUGUGGAUUUGGACAUGGAUCUGCUUCUGUAUCCUGUCCCUCUGCUGAGUGUGUUUCUCCUCAUUCCAACAGUUUCAGCCCAAUCUGCCAUCAAUCUGACCAACCAGACAGAGGUUCCCAUGGUGACCUCACCCACAACACUGUCAUCCAACACUAUGCAUGUGGCUGGCAGCGCAACAACCCCAACUACAGCCCAGCCAAUGACUGAUGUGACAUCAUCCCCAGUACUCUCACCGCCAGGAAAUGCCAGCUGUGACAAUAAGUCACCCACAUCCUCACCUCGACUAUCGUGUCCUAACGUCAGAAGCUCUGCUCAGGCUAAAAUACCUAGUACCCCCUCACAAGACACUGCUGCUGGACCAGUCUUAGGAUCAACGGCUGCUGCAACAGCAACCACUUCGACCUCUGUGACUUCCCCUGAAGGACCCAAAGGGACACACACAGACAUCCCUCCCACUCAGUCACCGGGCAAGAGCCUCACCAUGCUUGCCUUUGGUGUCAUGACUUUAAUCCUCAUUCUCAUCAUUAUCAUGGUGGUUUUAGUAACAGUGGUCAACCUAAAAGACAAGUGCAGCAACUCCAAGGAGGAAGGUAAAAAGAGCAGUGAUUCUGUGGUGUCUGAAAGCAAUGUCACGUUUAGUGGAGAAAAAGAGAGCAUCACUUUGAUCUCCAUGAAGACCAUUAACACAGAAACUGACACAGACUCCCCCCAGGUCUCCUCCAUUCACAGUACAACACUGGACUAUGAGGAGCAGGAGCAAAACAGGGACCUAUUGAACAACAAGCUGGUGUGAAAAUAAAGACCCUAGAUGUUCCGUUCCAAAACACAGAAAUCACCAAACUACUCAAACAAAAUAGUACAGUGGUUGUUCUAUACACCUGAGAUCAAGUUACCGGGAGUCCACACAGCACCUGAAUUCAUAGCUGUGGAGAUAUUAUACAUUAAGCUACAACUAGGCCUACCAUUGUGUCUGAUGUGUCUACAUGUUGCCAUUCUAAUACAAAUAUCCCAUGUUUUUGUGUGAUGAUAUCAAAACUGCCUUUAUGGAGACAAUGUUGUGUGUUCUGUUUCAUAUAUAUAUUUUAUUUAUUUAUUUUAUUUCACCUUUAUUUAACCAGGUAGGCCAGUUGAGAGCAAGUUCUCAUUUACAACUGCAACCUGGCCAAGAUAAAGCAAAGCAGUGCGACAAAAACAACACAGAGUUACACAUGGGAUAAACAAACGUACAGUCAAUAACACAAUAGAAAAAUCUGUAUACAGUGUGUGCAAAUGAAGUAAGGAGGUAAGGCAAUAAAUAGGCCAAUAGUGGCGAAGUAAUUAAAAUGUUGCAAUUUAUGUGUGCAAAAGAGCAGAAAAACAAAAACAAAUAUGGGGAUGAGGUAGAUAGUUGGUUGGAUGGGCUAUUUACAGAUGGGCUGUGUACAGCUGCAGCAAUCAGUAAGCUGCUCUGACAGCUGACGCUUAAAGUUAGUGAGGGAGAUAAGUCACCAACUUUAGUGAUUUUUGCAAUUCAUUCCAGUCAUUGGCAGCAGAGAACUGGAAGGAAAGGCUGCCAAACGAGGUGUUGGCUUUGGGAAGGACCCGUGAAAUAUACCUGCUGGAGUGCGUGCUAUGGGUGGGUGUUGCUAUGGUGACCAGUGAGCUGAGAUAAGGUGGAGCUUUACCUAGCAAAGACUUAUAGAUGACCUGGAGCCAGUGGGUUUGGCGACGAAUAUGUAGCGAGGACCAGCCAACGAGAGCAUACAGGUCGCAGUGGUGGGUAGUAUAUAGGGGCUUUCAUGACAAAAUGGAUGGCACUGUGAUAGACUGCAUCCAAUUUGCUGAGUAGAGUGUUGGAGGCUAUUUUGUAAAUGACAUCGCCAAAGUCAAGGAUCGGUAGGAUAAUCAGUUUUACGAGGGUAUGUUUGGCAGCAUGAGUGAAGGAGGCUUUGUUGCAAAAUAGGAAGCCGAUUCUAGAUUUAACUUUGGAUUGGAGAUGCUUAAUGUGAGCCUGGAAGGAGAGUUUACAGUCUAACCAGACACCUAGGUAUUUAUAGUUGUCCACAUAUUCUAAGUCAUAACCGUUCAGAGUAGUGAUGCUAGUCAGGUGGGCGGGUGCGGGCAGCGAUCAGUUGAAGAGCAUGCAUUUCGUUUUACUUGCAUUUAAGAGCAGUUGGAGGCCACAGAAGGAGUGUUGUAUGUCGUUGAAGCUCGUUUGGAGGUUGUUAACACAGUGUCCAAAAUAGGUUGUGAUGUGCCAGAUGGCCAGAUGUGUACAGAAUGGUGUUGUCUGUGUAAAGGUGGAUCAAAGAAUCACCCACAGCAAGAGCGACAUCAUUGAUAAAUACAGAGAAAAGAGUCGGCCUGAGAAUUUAACCCUGUGGCACUCCCAUAGAGACUGCCAGAGGUCCGGACAACAGGCCCUCCGAUUUUACACAAUGAACUCUAUCUGAGAAGUAGUUAGUGAAUCAGGCGAGGCAGUCAUUUGAGAAACCAAGACUGUUGAAUCUGCAAAUAAGAAUACGGUCAUUGACAAAGUCGAAAGCAUUGGCCAGGUCGAUAAAGACGGCUGCACAGUACUGUAUUUUAUCGAUGGCGGUUAUGAUAUCAUUUAGGACCUUGAGCGUGGCUGAGGUGCACCCGUGACCAGCUCGGAAACCAGAUUGCAUAGCAGAGAAGGUACGGUGGGAAUCGAAAUCGUCUGUGAUCUGUUUGUUCACUUGGCUUUCAAAGAUGUUAGAAAGGCAGGGCAGGAUGGAUAUAGGUCGGUAACAGUUUGGUCUAGAGUGUCUCCCCCUUUGAAGAGGGGGAUGACCCCGGCCACUUUCCAAUCUUUAGGAUUCUCAGACGAUACGAAAGAGAGGUUGAACAGACUAGUAAUAGGGGUUGCAGCAAUUGUGGCGUAUAAUUUUCAGAAGAGAGGGUCCAGAUUGUCUAGCCCAGCUGAUUUGUAGGGAUCCAGAUUUUGCAGCUCUUUCAGAACAUCAUCUGUCUGGAUUUGGGUGAAUGAGAA
ensembl:lncRNA